rnacentral:lncRNA from 10 species
GCCCGGGUUUGCGGGAACAAAGCAGCGCCCUGCGGAAGGCAGCCCUCGUGAACUCAGAAGUUAGUUUUCGUCUCUGGACCUUUUUAUAAUCGGACUUCAGCCCAUCACUGUCUCGUUUUGUCCUCAGAAACGGCGACAGCAGCCUCUUCCCAAUGUUGAGAGCAAAAAGUGUGAACCCAGAAAUUCCGAGACAGAUCUCAAUUACUUGCCAAGGUUGAGGACGCGCGCGUGACAGCCUCAGGAAGUCCUCACGACAUGUGCCCAAGGUGGUCUGGGCAUAGCUUAGUUUUAUACAUUUUAUGGAGACAUGAGACAUCAAUAAAUGUAUGUAAGAAGUACAUUGGUUCUGUUUGGAAAGGCGGGGCAACUUGAAGCAAAGGCAGGAAGACGUGAAGCAGGAAGGGGGCUUCCAAGAAACAGAAGGAGCUUCUCCCAUGUGCUGUGCAGGACGCCUCCCGACCGCCUGUCUCCCUCUAGCUGCAGCCAGGCUCUUGGCUUCCCUGACGUCCUGCCCCUGCGCGGAUGGCCCAAGGCUCCUAGGCUCAAACCCAGCUCAUCCCUUUCUUACCCCAACCUGCUUCCCCUGGGGUCUUUAUCUCAGUAAAAGUCGCCAGCUCUCCCCUGAGACCUCCUUCUCACACUUCCUGAUGGCCUACUCUGUGCUCCACGUGACUUCAUACAUGUCCUGUGUACUGGAGUCAGAGUCACCUCCAACGCGCCUUUUAGCUCUUAGUGGGUUCUUUAGUUGAAUCUAGGCCCAGAUUGAGAAUCGCCUGUAAUCCUGGCGCCUGGGAGGUCGGGGCAA